rnacentral:lncRNA from 1 species
UUCUCCAACUAAACUUCAGUCAAAUUCUGGCGUUGACAUCCAUCAGAUGACUAGUGGUGAGGUAAGAGUGUUCAACUAAACUUCAGUCAAAACCUCUGCGAUAAUCAAAUUCGACCACUUCUUCAGGGCUGCUGCAUUGCACAAAAACAGAAAGGUUUCAGAUUAGCGACUCGAACAAACGUAACCCAAAGAUCUUUUAACUUGUACACCAAAGAAGAGAAUUUAACAAAAAAAAACAAAAACAAAAACUUGAGGUCUAAUUUCCCCCGCACAAUUCCUCUCGCUAUGAUGAAAUACAGGGAUCUGCUUGAGAUCCUUGGAUAUGUUCGAAAUAACUUGAUGCUCGCGACAAAACAUGAACUUUGAGAUAAGCAAAUUGGACACGAGGUACAAGCAAAAUUUUGAGAAAUCAGGAAAUUUCACCAGAAAUUUCAUCCGUCCAACUUGCAUACUAGCCACAUAACUUUCUCAUUACUGAAAAGUUUGUUCUAAUUACUUUCAAUUUCUUUGAAAUUCCAAUCGAAUCAGGUGGGUUUACCAUCUUUAAUAUUUCAUUCUAAUCUUCCAAACAACUUACCAAGCAUAAGAUUCUUAAUCGAUCUUCACUUUAAAAUGAAGUUUCUAGUACCUCCACAAUUAGAAAAUAAAUGCAGUUCUAGAGAACAUCAUUUCAUGGAAUGGAUCGGCAGAACACCAUUUCUUUUUCUUCGUCAAUGAACCUAACGAAGGCUCGAGAAACAGUUUCCUUACCGCGGGAAUCAGCUAUCACCGAGCUUCAGCUAA